rnacentral:lncRNA from 1 species
CGCAGGUCUCCCCGCAGCCGCAGCCUCCGUUUUGGGUCCCCGGGAAGCCACAGUCGCCCCCCAGCGCCCCCAGCGGAGCCUCCCCGGGGGAAGGGGCGUGGCGCUGGGGGGGGCAGAGUCACCCCGAGGGCCGUGGGCGGUGCCCGGCUGUCCCGGGAGCGGCCGCCUCCCUUCUCGGCAGAAGCCCUCCCCGCCGGCCGAGCGGGGACGCGGGAGCUGAGGUUGGGCCGCGGGCGGAUGGAGGUCUGGGGGAGGGUCGGCCGGGAGCGCUGGCGCCAGCGGAGCUGGCUGGGAGCCUCCGAGGCUGACAGCUCUUCUGGGGCCGCCCUUGCCCCCGCGGAGUGAUUCAACCCCGGCUCGCUGCCUCUGCCUGGCGGGUCGGUGCACCCCCAGACCGAGGCCUGGGGCGUUCUGCUUCAGCAGACCGAAACCAGAAACGCAGCCCCCGCCACCCAGGCCGAGUGUGCCGAGAAGGAGCCGGCACCCUUUUCAGGGUGUCAGGGGACUGUGUGCCCGGUAGGAGGGGGCGCCUCCUGGAGCCCGAAGGGAGGGCGCAGUAGGGAGCCAAGGGUGGGUGGGAGGCCACCCCUCCACCUCCAGGGGCGGGCGGCUCCUCCAGGCAGGUGACAGCAGCGGGACAGCAGUGCUUUGCCCUCCAGGACCUGUGCACCCUCCUGUCUACCUGGAGACCCUCUUCGCCAUCGUUGCCAGCGUACUCCUGGCCUCAGACUCCCCAGAGGGGACCCCCCCCACACACACCCCUGCAGAGCCUGGCAGAGGGCAGCUGUGGGGGCUGCUGGAGCCGCGGGUGUGAUCUGGAGGGGACACGGGGCCCGGCUGUGUUUCUGGGGCAUAACUGUCCUGACGAAGCACAGGGUGGAGCGAGCGCUGGUGUGCUGGGUGGAUUCUCAUCCCCCGAUAGCUGGAAAGUUGCCCCUCAUGACACUGGCCACUGCAUCGACAGCCUCUGUUGCUGGGUGUUUCUUCUAAGCAAUUAAGUAGGAGAUGAUGAAACCUCUCUUCCGUGGGGGGAGGCAGGACCAGCGCCCCGUCUUUAUCAGCCAGUGGCCAUAAAUGUGGACCAUGAACUUUCCCACUUGCUGUCAGCCCGGGCAUCGCAGGAACCAGCACAGGCCACGAGUCUCGGACUUCGUGCGGAGGUCUGCUGGUGUCUUCUGAGUGGGUGGAGCCAGGCGUGCCCACCAGAUGCGGGUAGCGUGUGCUAGGCCAGGACGGCUCCCCAGGCUCAAGUCGGCCUCCUCCUGGGCCGAGGUGGGUUGGCUGCCUGUCCCCAGCUGAGUUGUGGCUGUUCCCCUCACCUGCUCAGAUGAAGGCAGCGCUGUCAGAGGUGACCAGAGCCCGCUCCCUCGACCUUCAGGAUCCCCCGAGAGGGAGGCAACGUGUCAGGACGGUGUAUGUGGAGAGAGGCUUGAGGCUCGGUGCCCGAGCACGGGCAGGAGGACAGUGGCCUCGAUGCCAGAGACCGGAGGGAGGGACGCGACGAUGAGGCUGCAUAAGAAGAGAGCUGACUGUAGCUGAGUGUGUCAGCCACUCACCACCGAGUCCAGUUUCCGCACAGCACGAUCAUCGUGCCCUUGCUCACACACGUGUUAGAUGAGCUUGUGUGAGCUUUAUGGGCUGUAAUUUGUGAGUCUGUUCUGGGUGUGUGAUCCUGGCAGCCGGCUCGGCCUGGCCGCUCGUGACCUGGGGCCUUGUGGGGGUGGGGAGAGGGUGAGGAGGGGUGCACCCUCGACACCACCCUCUGAUGUGGCCUGCAGCCUAUGAAGAGUGAGGUUUGGGGGCCCAGAGUGUGAGUCACCAGCGGUAAAUGCAAACCAUAUGUGAUGCAUUUUCUCUGCUGCAGAAAGGGUUUCUGGUGACUGGCUCAGGCCAGGGCUCUGGAAACAGCAUUGCUUAUUUCACAUAAAAAUCCUAAGAAUGUGGGUGAACCUGUCUGAGAUCUGCGUAAUAAAACACUUAGUUGAAGUCACCGGGUUAGUUCCAGGCCCACUUGCUUAUGACGUGGCUGUUAGCCACGAGCUGGCAUUUACGUUAAAGUGUUGAGAAGAAGCGUGAGGGUUUUGAUGUUUCAGUUUCUUGAAAAUAUAACUGUUUCUACUCAGGACCUGCCUCUCCAAGAGUGUAGCACACUUCAUUUUUUUCUGUUUAGCAUGUAUGAGGGUGAACUUAGCUUGCUACUCACACACUACUCACUCUGUGGAGGAAGUUUGCCUCGCUUUUGUGGUGAGUCUUGCUGUAAUGAUAGCUUAUAUUUACAAAUACCGUCAGCAGUGCAGGGUCUUCAGGCUUGCAGAAAACGGUCAAGUCAUUACUUUGAGAAAUGUACAAACAUCUAUGCUUAAUGAGGUGCUAAAAGACAAAACUCAUCUACAAUCUCCUUCCCCCCAAACUGCCAACACUUCUGAUUAAUUUAAAAUCUGCUCUAAACGACAAAACUCAUCUACAACCUCCUUCCCCCCAAACUGCCAACACUUCUGAUUAAUUUAAAAUCUGCUCUAAAAGACAAAACUCAUCUACAACCUCCUUCCCCACAAACUGCCAACACUCUGGAUUAAUUUAAAAGCUGCUCUCUGGGCAGGUUGCAUCCCAGGGCUCCUCCUUCACACAUGGUGGGGCCCCACCUUCGCUUUACCUCUAGCGUCCCAGCCCUCGUGGUCAUCUGGAACCAGGGUUGGUACACAGGGCCUGCUGGCAUUCCUAUGAUACUCCGUGAUAUUCUGGAGGAAUCCAUCCCUUCCUUGGGGCUCCAUCCCACUGCCCCAGCACCUCCAGCCACCCUGAUUCAGGGACAUCGCAGAGAUUGGUGUUUGACGCUACGGCAGCAGAGGCGCAGACUCUUGAGUGUUGGAGGGUGUCUGGAGGGCCUGGGGGCCAGCACCGCCUGCACUCCCGGGAGCUCGGCCCCGCCCCACCGUGGCUCUGAGUGUCGGAGGGCGUCUGGAGGACCUGGGGGCCAGCACCACCUGCACUCCCGGGAGCUCGGCCCCUCCCCACCGUGGCUCUGAGUGUUGGAGGGCGUCUGGAGGGCCUGGGGGCCAGCACCGCCUGCACUCCCGGGAGCUCGGCCCCUCCCCACCGUGGCUCUGAGUGUUGGAGGGCGUCUGGAGGGCCUGGGGGCCAGCACCACCUGCACUCCCGGGAGCUCUGCCCCUCCCCACCGUGGCUCUGAGUGUGGGAGGGCGUCUGGAGAGCCUGGGGGCCAGCACCGCCUGCACUCCUGGGAGCUCGGCCCUGCCCCACCAUGGCUCUUGGUGCAGGUGCACUGGAAGGAACUGG